UACAGAGGGGGCAAGCGUUAUUCGGAAUUAUUGGGCGUAAAGGGCGCGUAGGCGGUGAUUUAAGUUGGAUGUGUAAUCCCCGAGCUCAACUUGGGAACUGCAUCCAAGACUGGAUCGCUAGAGUGCUGGAGAGGGUGGUGGAAUUCCUCGUGUAGCGGUGAAAUGCGUAGAGAUGAGGAGGAACACCAGUGGCGAAGGCGGCCACCUGGACAGUAACUGACGCUGAGGCGCGAAAGUGUGGGGAGCAAACAGG
rnacentral:rRNA from 1 species